CCGAGCUUGCAGCAAUAUAGGACAAUGAUCCGAACCAACAGACGGAAGGGCAAAUGCUUCUGCAGAAGGGUAAAACAUCAACCAUUCCAGUGAACAAAAUACACGAUCCAGUUUCUCCUUUACUAGAGCAUCCCCUUCGCGAUUAUUGGACCAGGGAGAAAGGAAGUCAUUGAAAUCACCUAUACACAGCCACGGCAAGUGAUAUGCAUGGAAGAGUUCGUCCUAGGAUCAAGUGCAACAAAAUCAACACACUGAUCAUCCGAGUAUACCAAGGCUACCAUCGCCUUUAGGGCUUGAAUUGUCAGGGGAUUGCCCAACCCCUGACAAUUCCAACUGAGGAGCUUCAUUUGGA